GAUGAACGCUGGCGGCGUGCUUAACACAUGCAAGUCGAACGGUGAAGGCGGAGCUUGCUCUGCUGGAUCAGUGGCGAACGGGUGAGUAACACGUGAGCAAUCUGCCCCUGACUCUGGGAUAAGCGCUGGAAACGGCGUCUAAUACUGGAUACGAGCUGCGAAGGCAUCUUCAGCAGCUGGAAAGAACUUCGGUCAGGGAUGAGCUCGCGGCCUAUCAGCUUGUUGGUGAGGUAACGGCUCACCAAGGCGUCGACGGGUAGCCGGCCUGAGAGGGUGACCGGCCACACUGGGACUGAGACACGGCCCAGACUCCUACGGGAGGCAGCAGUGGGGAAUAUUGCACAAUGGGCGAAAGCCUGAUGCAGCAACGCCGCGUGAGGGACGACGGCCUUCGGGUUGUAAACCUCUUUUAGCGGGGAAGAAGCGAAAGUGACGGUACCUGCAGAAAAAGCGCCGGCUAACUACGUG
rnacentral:rRNA from 1 species